rnacentral:rRNA from 1 species
UACGUAGGGGGCGAGCGUUGUCCGGAAUUAUUGGGCGUAAAGAGCUUGUAGGCGGUUUGUCGCGUCUGCCGUGAAAAUUCGAGGCUCAACCUCGAACUUGCGGUGGGUACGGGCAGACUAGAGUGUGGUAGGGGAGACUGGAAUUCCUGGUGUAGCGGUGAAAUGCGCAGAUAUCAGGAGGAACACCUGAGGCGAAGGCGGGUUGCUAGGCUGACACUGACGCUGAUGCGCGAAAGCCAGGGGAGCAAACGGG